UCUGCAGAAGAGAAUAAUGGAGUGAUUAAUGCAGAAGAUGCGAAGACGGAAGAAGUAGAGAAGUUGGAUAGAAUGGAGGAAGAUUCCAAAGAUGAUGUUAAUCUGAACUCUACAGAAGUGCAGGCUGAGUCAAAAGUGAAAGAUAAGGAAGUAUCUGCACUGGUAGAUGUUGAAACGCCAGACGAGAUGGAAGAAGACAAUAGGAAGCGGCACCUGAAUGUGGUUUCUAUUGGCCAUGUUGAUGCUGGCAAGUCCACAAUUGGAGGUCAGAUACUUUUGCUCAGUGGUCAGGUUGAUGAUCGUACAAUCCAAAAAUAUGAGAAAGAAGCUAAAGAAAAGAGUAGAGAAAGCUGGUACAUGGCAUAUAUUAUGGAUACUAAUGAAGAGGAAAGGAUUAAGGGUAUAACAGUUGAAGUUGGAAGAGCACAUUUUGAAACAGAGACAACUAGAUUUACAAUUUUAGAUGCACCAGGUCACAAGAGUUAUGUUCCUAAUAUGAUUAGCGGAGCAUCUCAAGCUGAUAUUGGUAUAUUGGUGAUUGCUGCUCGGAAAGGAGAAUUUGAAACUGGGUAUGAGAGAGGUGGGCAGACCCGUGAGCAUGUUCAGCUGGCAAAGACAUUGGGGGUGUCUAAGCUUCUUGUUGUUGUAAAUAAAAUGGAUGAUCCCACUGUAAACUGGUCAAAGGAAAGGUAUGAUGAAAUUGAAACAAAGAUGAUACCAUUUCUGAGGUCUUCAGGCUACAAUGUGAAGAAAGAUGUCCAGUUCCUGCCACUAUCUGGUUUGCUUGGUGCAAACAUGAAAACCAGAGUGGAAAAAAGCGUGUGUCCAUGGUGGAAUGGCCCCUGUCUUUUCGAAGCUCUUGAUGCCAUUGAAGUUCCUCCGCGGGAUCCAAAAGGUCCUUUCAGGAUGCCUAUUAUUGACAAAUUUAAAGAUAUGGGAACUGUAGUCAUGGGCAAAGCAGAAUCUGGUACUGUGACUGAGGGUGAUUCCUUGCUGGUCAUGCCAAAUAAGACUCGGGUGAAAGUUGUUGCUGUAUAUUGUGAUGAAAACAAAGUUAGACGUGCAGGGCCUGGAGAAAAUCUUCGUGUUAGGUUAUCUGGAAUUGAUGACGAGGAUAUAUUGGCAGGUUUUGUCAUGUCUAGUGUUGCAAAGCCAAUAGCCUCGGUUACAGAAUUUGUUGCUCAGUUGCAGAUCCUCGAAUUGCUGGACAAUGCAAUUUUUACAGCUGGCUAUAAAGCUGUUUUGCAUAUUCAUUCUGUAGUUGAGGAAUGUGAGAUUGUUGAACUGCUAAAACAAAUUGAUCCGAAGACAAAGAAACCUAUGAAAAAGAAAGUUCUCUUUGUGAAGAAUGGUGCUGUUAUUGUGUGCCGCGUUCAGGUAAAUAACUUGAUAUGCAUAGAGAAGUUUGCAGAUUUUCCCCAACUCGGCAGGUUUACUCUUCGAACUGAGGGGAAAACAGUUGCAGUGGGGAAAGUCACUGAACUUCCUUCAGUUUCUAAUUAAACAAUUUUGGUGUUAUAGGUUUGAGUCAAAAGGAUUGCUCUCUCUCUCUCUCUCUCUCUCU
rnacentral:misc_RNA from 1 species